CCCUUAGAUGCUCUGGGCCGCACGCGCGCUACACUGACGAAUGCAACGAGCUUAUAACCUUGGCCGAAAGGUCUGGGUAAUCUCCAAAUUUCGUCGUGAUGGGGAUAGAUUAUUGCAAUUAUUAAUCUUCAACGAGGAAUGCCUAGUAAGCGCAAGUCAUCAGCUUGCGUUGAUUACGUCCCUGCCCUUUGUACACACCGCCCGUCGCUCCUACCGAUUGAAUGGUCCGGUGAAGCGUUCGGACCGUGGCCUUUGGACGGUUCGCCGUCUGUUGGCUGCGGGAAGUUCGUUAAACCUUAUCAUUUAGAGGAAGGAGAANUCGUANCA
rnacentral:rRNA from 1 species